UCUUAAUCUAAAUUCUAAUUCAAUUUUAAUUUGACCAGAAAUCUAAUUUUAAUUAACUAAUUUCUAAUUCUAAUUAGAAAUGGUUUCUUUUUAAUUGAAACAAUUUUCUCAAAAUCAGUUUUCUAGGUGAAUAGUUAAUUACAGAGAUUAACUUGUAAUAUUAAUCUCUAAGUAUUGUUCUGACUAUUAAGUUACAAAUUAAUUGGAUUGGUAAUCAAAUCUUUCUAUGGAUCUCUUUGUGAUUGUAUUGAUGCUGACUAAUUAUCAAUUUAAUUAGAAUUGAAUCUCAACUUGAUCAUUAUGUUGAACUGAUUCCUAAUAAUUUUGCUGCUUUCAUCACACCAGAUUAAUGGUUGUUUCAGUUAAUUGCAGAAACAAAUGGCUUCCAAUGAAAUUAAAACAAUAGGAAUCAUUUCAUUCAAUUGUUUUAUAUUUUUCUCCAAUUCCAGUUAAAUUAAUUAACAGACUGAUAUGGUUAAACGAAAACACUUGAGAAAAUAAUAAUUGAUGCUAAUUUCUAUUAAUGGUGAAUUCAAAUUCAACUGCAGUAAAAACUCGGAACGAUUUAACCAAAUGGAUUCAGUGAACAUUGAUAACAAUCGUUGAUUACAGUUUUGAUUUAAAAUGUCAACAAAAUUAACAUUUAUUUACUGAUUAGAUUGAAAUUAGUGUCAACUAAUUAUCUAAUAUCAUCUAAUCAUUAAGCUGACCUUCAAUCUGGUCACCAAACAAAUCGUAAUCAUAAUAACAAUAUUAACAAACAUGUACAUAGAUGUAAUCAUUUUGUCAAUAGUUGACUGAUUUUUCAGUCAAUUAAAUUAGAGAGAAAUUGACAAUUAACUGAGAAAAUUGAAUUUUCCUUAAUUAACAAUCCUUAAUGUCCAUUUGAAAUGAAAUUAACUCCAAUCAAUUAAUAACAAACCUCAAACAAAUACAGAAUGAUUAACAUUUCCCAAUUUAUAAUAGAAAAGUUAAAUCAAACCAACUAGCAAAUUAACAAUUAAAUUUAAUUCACCUUGAA